GCAGGAGCAACUCAAUGCCCAGAAAGCCGAACUGCAGCAGGCCGUGGAACACAUGCAGAUAAUAAAAUCUGAAAAAGCAAAUGUGGCCGUUGGGGUCAAAGAUGAUGUGCUUUAGAUGGAGGAGCUACAGUAGCAGUGCCCCCUGGUGGUCAAGCGUUGCCAGUACUACCAGGAGACAGCCAACCUCUACCCCCUGGUCACCAGCAAGACUUACCUGCACACUCUUAGCAGGCCCGGCAGCUUUUUCUGUGUGUGUGAAUCUCUGUGUGUGUGUUUGCGCAUGUGUGUGUGCGCUCAUGUGUGUUUGCGUGUGCAUAUGUGUGUAAAUUAAUUUAGCAAUUAAUCAGUUUCAGUUAGCUUUAAUGUGUUGUUGGAGCUCUAUGGUCCCACAAUAUACUCGGACGCACACAUACAGUCCAACAAUUUCCCAAGACCAGCUAAACCAAUCAGAAUGAAGCCUUGGAUUUUGACCCACUACCAGUCGUGGCAUUCCGGAGCUGGCAGGAACAGCCAGCACAACCAACGAGACUUGAAAUAAUUGCUGAACCAGGCAUUUUGUGGACAAUCCACUCUUUGUUAUUAGUUAUUUUCCCUCUUGACACAACCAGAACAUGGUUCGAUAUGGGAAGUAAUUUGGGACCAGUGGGAAGAGUUUUUGUUACUGAAUAUUUGCAAUGUUUUGUUUUCUACCUAGUUAGGUAGGCUACCCAGUGGGAUUGUUUCUCUGGAGAAAGAUUUGUUUAAAAUACAAAAUACAUUUGGUUAAAUAGUUUACGGAGGUGGGUCAAAUUAAUGUCAAUUUUGAUAUGCUACUUGAUAGUAUGCUGUCAUGAUAAAUAAUGUAUAACUUACCUGGAGAUGGUUUACUGUUAUAGCCUUGCUGAUUCAUUCCUGAUAUUAAUAAUUGCCCAUACACAGAUAAAACCUAUUGGCUUCACAUCAUAGACAAUGAAGGCAUAAUUAGUUCUUAGUAUUUUAUUUUAUUUUUAUUGGACUUUGUUAGUUAAGAUACAGUAUGGAAAUUAUGAAGAUACUAAAGUAAUUCAAUAUUGGCCAAAAUAAUGUUUACAUGCCACAAACUGCCAUUUGUUUUCGUGUAACAAAAAUGCCCCAUUGAUGUGGACUUAGAAUGUUGUAAAUGUUUUCAUUGUGGUUGAUAGGGACAAUAGUGAUAAUUAGUAGGAGUCUUGAAUGUUAUUUUUGGUGUUUCAUUUAUCUUAAUUUCCAGUGUCUGUUUUACUGUAUUUGUGUGUGAGAGUAUGUAUGAUGAUCACAGUUUAGGACCAACAUCUAUUGUGGGGAUAAUAAUAAUAAAUAAUAAUAAUCAUACA